rnacentral:rRNA from 1 species
ACGGCUCAGUAACACGUGGACAACCUACCCUUAGGCCUGGGAUAAACCUGGGAAACUGGGUAUAAUACCGGAUAGGUCUCGGAUGCUGGAAUGCAUCGAGGCUGAAAGCUCCGGCGCCUAAGGAUGGGUCUGCGGCCUAUCAGGGUAGUAGUGGGUGUAAUGUACCUACUAGCCUACGACGGGUACGGGUCGUGAGAGCGAGAGCCCGGAGAUGGAUUCUGAGACACGAAUCCAGGCCCUACGGGGUGCAGCAGGCGCGAAAACUUUACAAUGCUGGAAACAGCGAUAGGGGGACUUUGAGUGCCAGGAUACAAUUCUGGCCGUCGUCGUGCCUAAAAAGCACGGCAUAGCAAGGGCCGGGCAAGACCGGUGCCAGCCGCCGCGGUAACACCGGCGGCUCGAGUGGUAACCGCUAUUAUUGGGUCUAAAGGGUCUGUAGCCGGCUGAAAAAGUCUCUUGGGAAAUCUGGCUGCUCAACAGUCAGGCUUUCAGGAGAUACUCUUCGGCUCGAGACCGGGAGAGGUGAGAGGUACUUCAUGGGUAGGGGUGAAAUCUUGUAAUCCUUGAAGGACCACCAGUGGCGAAGGCGUCUCACCAGAACGGAUCUGACGGCAAGGGACGAAAGCUAGGGGCACGAACCGGAUUAGAUACCCGGGUAGUCCUAGCCGUAAACGAUACUCGCUAGGUGUCAGCCACGGUGCGACCGUGGUUGGUGCCGUAGGGAAGCCGUGAAGCGAGCCACCUGGGAAGUACGGCCGCAAGGCUGAAACUUAAAGGAAUUGGCGGGGGAG